ensembl:lncRNA
UCGCUGUGGCCUCAGGAUGGUUGGGGCAAAGGCAGGGUCAGCGGGCCCGAGAGGGGCAGCCCGCACAGUGCUGCCCUGUGGCUGCUUCAGGGCCCCUCUCUCCACUGUCCCUUGACAGAGCCUGCACCCCAGCCUGCAGGAGACUGUCCUCCGCAGGGCCCUUCCUGCUCUCAGCUUCUACUGACCGAAUGGUGACUCAGAAGAAACUGGAAAGAGUGGUCACCUCCGGGAAAGAAAACAGGCAUGGAGAGAACUGGCCACUGUUCUCAAGAGUGUUCCUCGUCCUGGCCGGCCAGCUUGCGCUGCUGGCAAAACAGCCAGCCAAGCCAGGGCACAGUUUUGCGGGACUUCGGGAGAAGCACAGACCACCCCGGCCUCAUCAGCCUGAGGCACCCAUGCCCUGGGCUGGGUCUGCAGCUACAGGUCAGCGUCCACGUGCAGGACAUAGGACAAAAG